rnacentral:lncRNA from 1 species
CGGAGCAACAGCGUCGGAAGACUGCGAGCCUGAGACGCUCAAGCAAUGAGUGCCAGGAGAGGCUUUAGCGGCGUCGGAGCCAGGGGGUGGAAGGGGAUGGAUUUCACUGACCAGCUGCGCAAUUUCUCCCUUGUCAGUAGGGGGCGUGCGCCCAUUAUUGCAAUACGAAGCAAAGUAGAAAUUGUUGGUCUUGAGCGUUUCUCAGAGAAAGCAGCCACGUGCAGCCGACUGCACGGCCUGCUGUGUUAAUGGCUGGGAUGCACAGGGCUGCAGCGCUGGCGUUCUGCUGGAUCUGCUCUUCCUUCCCACAGUGACAGCGGAACGCGGCAGAAAGCGCAGCGAGGCGGCAGAGCAGCAAGGAGCUGACGUACAGAGCGCGGGCUGUGGGGAGAAAAGCAAGAGGAGAAAGAGGGCACCGGGUGUUGGUGUUCCCCCGGACUGCCACGUGGAUCGGUUCAUUCAGUGGCAUCAAGGCUGGACCUGCUUGCAGCGGCUUUGGACACCUCGCCCACGGGAUGGAUGCAUUGCUGUACAACUCCCCAGUGGCCGGGAGAGCUUCUCCAGAU